AAUAGAUGCUUUAAAUUAAUUAGUGAUUUGUUUUUGCUUUUUUAAGGUAAAUAGAGGUGAAGUCUAUCUACAAUUAUAAUGCCAUUUUUUUUUUCAUGUCCACAAAAAAAUUGUUGCAACUUUCCCUUAGCAAAAAGUAGUAUACUUCAAGAUUAUUUUAUUAAGUUUACUUAAGUAAAGUUCAAGUAUACUUUUAAGUAUACUUUAUGUAGCAAGUAUACAAAGUGUUCUAGUGUUCAAGUAGUAUACUUGUAAGUGUAUUGUUUCAAUACUCCUUGGGACUAAAUCGGCCCACUUUCUAGUAUAUAAAAUAUACUUUUAAAUAUACUUUAAGUAUAACAGUAGCAAACUUUGAGUACACAACUAGUUUACCUCUAUGUUUGUAGUUUGUACUGCAAUUAUAAUAAAAGUGAACUUGAUUUACGGAUAGUUUACUAAUUAAAUACUUUGCACACUUAUACUGCAAGUAUAGUCAUAAGUUUUCUUUAAGUGAACUUUAUAUCAUACUUUAAGACUACUAUGUCCCUAUUUAGGUUUGAAUUUGUAUAAUUUUUGUUACAUGAAUAUCUGAGCAUGCAAAACAUACAAAGAAAGAACAGUGUCUUAUACUUACAAAAAGUCUAAAUAUAUUUAAGCUAUACUCCUAGAAUGUGUUUUCAUUGUUUUAUGGUAGAGGGUGCUAGUAUGCAUCUUCUGUACAAAAUGUUCAAAAAUACACGAGUGAAGAAGAAAAAGAAACACCACCCAGCAGGCAGAGUACAUCAAUGUGACGUCAGGAAGACGUUGGACUCCAACUAAUCCAACGUCAGUCAGACGUCAUAUUUUGGUUGAAAAUUAAAGUCGGUUUGACGUCUAAACCCAACUUUGUUUGACGUCAAACUCCGACAUCAGACAGACAAAUUUUGGUUGGAAUAAUCACCACACUGCAACAAAGGGUGAAAUGCAUGACAGCACAUUAAAGGGGGUUGAAAUGCUAUUUCAUGCAUACUGAGUUUUUUACACUGUUAAUGAGUUGGAUUCCCAUGCUAAACAUGGACAAAGUUUCAAAUAUUAAGUUGUACGUUUGAAGGAGUAUUUCUGUUCCAAAAAUACUCCUUCCGGUUUGUCACAAGUUUUGGAAAGUUUUUUUUUUUUCGAGUAUGGCUCUGUGUGACGUUAGAUGGAGCGGAAUUUCCUUAUAUGGGUCCUGAGGCACUUCUGCCGGAAGAGCGCGCGCUCCCGUAUAGCAGAGCACUGGGAGCACAACAGACGUUCACUGAUCAGAGCAAGAGCGUCGCGAAAUGUCACAAAAGAAGUGUGUUUUUGGUUGCCAGGGCAAGACAACCCUGCACAGAUUACCAAAAGAGAAACAGCAUUAAGGGACCAGUGGAUGGAGUUUAUUUUUACAGAGCAUCAACGGAGUUGUGCAAGUGUUUUUGUUUGUUCCCUGCAUUUCGAAGAUGCUUGUUUUACAAACAAGGCCCAGUUUGACGUUGGAUUUGCACAUCAUUUAUUUCUUAAGGAUAAUGCAGUCCCAACGAAAAAGGGUCACGAUCGUGUGUUGGAACCACAUGCGCCUCUGGGUCUGUGUCACAGCUUCCAGACGCUCUCAACCCAAAAGCCUACUGGCGCUCGUGAUUCUUUAGUUCCGCCCACACGUCACGCCUCCAGACGGUCGUGUUUUUCCGGGAAAAAUCGGUACAGACUAUCUUUCUCUUAUGAAUAUAAUAAAACUAAAGACUUUUUGGAGUUAUGAAAGAUGCAGUACUACUCUAUAGGUACUCAAGAUUAACAGGAUAUUGAGUGAAAACGAGCAUUUCACCCCCCAUUUAAAUAUCUCAAGAUCUCAGCAGAGGAGGAUUAAACAACUCCACAAACAGCAUUACCAGCUUCACGUAUUACUAACCAGACUGACUUUAUUUCUGUCAGACGUCUACAAAAGCUCUUAUUGAAAAUUAACAGGGGUUUAACUCUAAUGUGUUUAAUUUCCAUAACAGCAUAACAGUUAAACACCAUAACAGUGAUUAGUGUUUCCAUUAGUUGAGCUCUUAACACUUAUUAUAUGUUUUGGCUUUUGUGGCUGCUAUGACAGUUUGUUUGUCAAGCACAUUUGCAGCAUCAAAGAAAGCUAAAGUGAAAUGAGAUCAGAUGAUGGCUGUUUCCUGUUAAUGGUUUUAUAAUCAUCAUGAAAUAACCUGAUUCGCUGAUGUUUUUAAUCUAACAAUUAUGUUGUUCCAUUAGUGCAUUAAUAUUACAAACCCUGUGUAUCUGCCACAUGAGAUCCAGCGGUAUUAUAACAGUCAGUUAAAAUCUUUUAACAAGCAUGAGCUCAAAAACUUAACCUACGCUGACACACACAGAUAUCAACAAUCAGCGUAUGAAUCUCAACAAUGGUAACAUGCUUCAUGCAGCAAUGCAUUGGGAGCCAUGUGUUGUAUACUAUCCCAGCAUGCAUUGCUGCAUGAAGCAUGUCACCAUUGUUGAGAUUCAUAUACUGAUUAUUGAUGUCUAUGUGUCUCGAAAGCUUUUUCUCCCAAAAAAAUGCAGAAUGUUUGAUCUGAGGGAAGAAAGUAUUUUCUCUUGAAUAUUGUUCAUUAAUAAUAAAUAACCACUUUGGGUCAAUGACAAUAAAAAUAAUUUUCCUCAAUAAUUUUUUUUUCAUGAUGAUGAAAACUAUAUCACCUUAUUUUUGUUCAUGGCUCCUUAUAAUAAUAAAUUAUAUGUUUUUGUAAACACUAUUGCAGGAACCACAAACGUACUAAGCCUAGAGUCAAACUACCCAACUAAAGCAAACACUGAUCACAAUAAUGGUGACCAAACAUUUUCAAAUAAAACAUCAACAUCUAAACCUCUUUUAAUUCUCAAAAAUAACUUCUGUAGACAUCUGACAGAAAUAAAGUCAAACUGGUUAGUAAUAAGUGAAGCUGGUAAUAUGUGUACUGCCAUGCAUUUCACCAUUUUUUUAAGUUUUUUGGGGUGGGGGUGUUUAUUCCAGGCAAAAUUCAGCAUCUACCCAACAUUGGAGCUUGAAAACAACCCAAUUUUCAUUUUCAACCAAAAUCCAACUUCUAACCGCUAUUAUUAUGUUUGCGAUAUCAAUCACUGGUCGAUAACCAUAAUGUUUGUAUAAACUGUAGGUAACAACUGGUAAAAUGUACGUCUAGGUCAUAAAAACCAUAAUAAUACCUACACUUAAAUAUGUUCUUCUCAGCCAUGUCAUCAAUUGCUCUUGAGCGAAAUCUCCUCAUCCGUUGUCUGAUUGGAAUUUUGCAAGGAUUUCUGUGUAGUUAAAGUGUGCGUAGCCUGCAUCUAUCCACUUUUUCUUUUGUAACUUACCCACAUUAACGUGUUUAAAAAAAGAAUGCAAACCGCUAGAAUGAAAUGUUUUUGUUUACACUGUAAAAAGUGAUUCUCUAUAUUUAUUCAAUAAAAUUGUGUAAAAAUGUUAAAAGCAAUAUUAUUCAUUAAAUUUAACACAUUUUCAUUAAGUAGAAUUAACCAUUCAAAAUGAGUAGAAUAACAUGAAAAAAUUAAGUAAAAUUUACACAAAAAUAUUGAUUUCACUGGAUAAAAAAAUAAAAAUAAAACACUAUUCUAAAGAAUACUAUGUUAUGCAUGCCAGGCCAGUAGUAAACACUGUUUUGGGGGCCUUACAACCUUUUAAACAUGAUGCCUUUAUUAUAUCUAUGUAAGCAACAAAAAUGUGAAUUUGUAAAAAGGUUGACGUCAUGUGAUGUGACAAGUCGGUUCUGGGGCAUUUUGAGUUAUUCGCAGAUUCUGAAAGUGUAGUCUCCAAGCUUUCCAACGAUGUGUAACACAUGGAAAUCUGAUAAUAUUUGGAGAAGUUGUGGCCAUUUGAAGGUAGGGACUCAAAAAAGCUCAAAAAGCAGAAAAUAGCCUCUAAAGAUUGUGCCGUUCUCACCUGUUCUCACUGCUGCGAGUGACAAUGGGGCUCAUUUACAUCUCAUUUAAAUAAGCCAUACCCCCUGUAAAGCUGCUUGGUUGCAUAGCAACGACAGACACAACUGGAAAAAUCGGCCGCAUACUAUUAAUAAUAAAGGACAAUGUGCAUUGUAAAUGUCAGUAAUUUAUCUUUUUUGACUUUUAUAAAAAUGAUUUAGAGGCUGAAAUAUGUGAGUUUUAUCUUUUUAUAAAAAAAUCUUUAAUCUUUAAAAUGUGGCCAUCAUUUUUAAUGUUAUUAUUUUAAUGUUUAUGUAAACAAAAAGUACAUAUUGAUGCUAAUUGUAUUUGUUAUUUGCUGGUUUUCAACAUAAAACUUGGUGAAAUUAUUUCAUUUCGCACUUUCUCUUUGUCGGGGUCUUCUUUGUGGAUGUAAUCUCCGAAGUUUGCACUGUCCGUCUGUUUGCCUCUAAAUGUUACGGAUUUUCCCCAUUUCUCUGUCUUUAUCCCCAUCAAAUGUUACUAUCGAUAUAGCCUCUGAUAUCUUACAGUCCAACUCGUCUGACGCCAGUUCAAUACAUUCUUCCUCGGUGUCAUCUUCGCUCAGUUGUAGAUUAGGGAUAUUAUACAGUCUUAUUAUGCCGCUUUCAUCGUCGCUCAUAUCCUCUUCAGAAUCAGUGAGCGCUUGUUCAUAAGCAUCCAGAUUGUCGAAGAAGUACUUCAAAACAUUUUCGGUGUAAUGGCCACGGUUCAGCUCGUCUGCGAUCAUCUUUGCGGCGCACAUCUUCAUUGAAUUUUGAUAUCAGCUAGAGCCGGCCAGAGUGCUGCAUAUUAAGUAGCCACGCUUCCCUCGGAGUAUACGGAACAUCACAUUUAUAUGAAUGCAUUAGUGAGAGCGAUUGCGUGUGUGAAUUAUUUCUACAUGGCUGCAUCUCUCUACUAGUAGUGACACUGUGGCAUUUAGUAAUCAACAAAUAUAUGCUUAAACUUUUCUGUUUCUAAGCUAUUUUAUUGAGAAAUCACAGAACAGCAUUGACAGUACAUAUCUGCGCUGAAUGAUUCUGUGCGCUAGCCUAUGUGUGUGCCUUACAGUGCAGCAGCACAUUAGAUUAGAACAGCACUUAACUUAACUGUACAAUAAGCUGUUUAGAAUGUGCAUUCUCCCGUUCAAUUUCGAGCAUCCAGUAAUAUGAUCACACAUGUCUUGUGGAGCUUUCGGAGUAUACAUUUAUUUGUCAUUGUAACUGUUUGGAUUGGAAAGUCUUAACCUCUGCUUAAUGAUGUAAACGGGAAUCAUUCAGGAGCCGUCCCAGCGGAGGGGAAAGAUUUUACUCUAUCGUUUUAUUCCAAGCAACAGAAAAAUUGAGCAUGCGUGUCAUGCGCCUGUCUCUCAAUGGGAGGAAG